GAGAAACUCCGUGUUCCAGGUGGAGGAUGAAGACCCUCUGCCGGGAUGGAGUGACUCUCCAUCACCACUUUAAUCUCAUAAGAAGCAUGAGACUGAGAGAAACCACCACAUCCAGAGUCCACCCACAUCCAGCUCAAUUUCCAGCUGUGGAGGAGAAACCAGCUGCAGCUCAAGUUCCAGCUGUGGAGGAGAAACCAGCACAAGUUUAAAAUCCAGUUAAAGCUCCUUCAGCAUCUUCUUGGAAGUAGACCCUUCCUUGCGUCAAACCGUCCGCAUGGUGGGCGCUGCAUUAUGUGUGCAGCCCUACUCGCCGGAACGGGGAUCUUCGGGUAUUUAUUUAGCAGAUGUGGCACUGGGGAGAGAAGACCGGAA